rnacentral:rRNA from 1 species
GUUUGAUCCUGGCUCAGAUUGAACGCUGGCGGCAUGCCUUACACAUGCAAGUCGAACGGUAACAGGUAAGCUGACGAGUGGCGAACGGGUGAGUAAUACAUCGGAACGUGCCCAGUAGUGGGGGAUAGCCCGGCGAAAGCCGGAUUAAUACCGCAUACGACCUACGGGUGAAAGGGGGGGAUCGCAAGACCUCUCGCUAUUGGAGCGGCCGAUGUCAGAUUAGGUAGUUGGUGGGGUAAAGGCUCACCAAGCCAACGAUCUGUAGCUGGUCUGAGAGGACGACCAGCCACACUGGGACUGAGACACGGCCCAGACUCCUACGGGUGGCAGCAGUGGGGAAUUUUGGACAAUGGGCGCAAGCCUGAUCCAGCCAUGCCGCGUGCGGGAAGAAGGCCUUCGGGUUGUAAACCGCUUUUGUCGGGGAAGAAACGCUCUGGGUUAAUACCCUGGGGUAAUGACGGUACCCGAAGAAUAAGCACCGGCUAACUACGUGCCAGCAGCCGCGGUAAUACGUAGGGUGCAAGCGUUAAUCGGAAUUACUGGGCGUAAAGCGUGCGCAGGCGGCUAUGCAAGACAGAUGUGAAAUCCCCGGGCUCAACCUGGGAACUGCAUUUGUGACUGCACAGCUAGAGUACGGUAGAGGGGGAUGGAAUUCCGCGUGUAGCAGUGAAAUGCGUAGAUAUGCGGAGGAACACCGAUGGCGAAGGCAAUCCCCUGGACCUGUACUGACGCUCAUGCACGAAAGCGUGGGGAGCAAACAGGAUUAGAUACCCUGGUAGUCCACGCCCUAAACGAUGUCAACUGGUUGUUGGGAGGGUUUCUUCUCAGUAACGUAGCUAACGCGUGAAGUUGACCGCCUGGGGAGUACGGCCGCAAGGUUAAAACUCAAAGGAAUUGACGGGGACCCGCACAAGCGGUGGAUGAUGUGGUUUAAUUCGACGCAACGCGAAAAACCUUACCUACCCUUGACAUGUCUGGAAUCCUGAAGAGAUUUGGGAGUGCUCGAAAGAGAACCAGAACACAGGUGCUGCAUGGCCGUCGUCAGCUCGUGUCGUGAGAUGUUGGGUUAAGUCCCGCAACGAGCGCAACCCUUGUCAUUAGUGCUACGAAAGGGCACUCUAAUGAGACUGCCGGUGACAAACCGGAGGAAGGUGGGGAUGACGUCAGGUCAUCAUGGCCCUUAUGGGUAGGGCUACACACGUCAUACAAUGGACGGUACAGAGGGUCGCCAACCCGCGAGGGGGAGCCAAUCCCAGAAAACCGUUCGUAGUCCGGAUCGCAGUCUGCAACUCGACUGCGUGAAGUCGGAAUCGCUAGUAAUCGCGGAUCAGCUUGCCGCGGUGAAUACGUUCCCGGGUCUUGUACACACCGCCCGUCACACCAUGGGAGCGGGUUCUGCCAGAAGUAGUUAGCCUAACCGCAAGGAGGGCGAUUACCACGGCAGGGUUCGUGACUGGGGUGAAGUCGGAACAUGGUA